ACACCAUGGAAAAACUGUUGGAGCUGGCUGAGGUAGCACAUCUCAAAGAAAAAAUUGGCAAAAUGUAUAGCGGAGAACAUAUAAACAGCACUGAGGAUAGAUCUGUUCUCCAUGUGGCUCUACGUGCUCCAAGAGAUGUUGUUAUGUCCAGUGAUGGGAUAAAUGUAGUUCCAUAGGUUUGGAAGGUUUUCGACAAGAUCAACG